CGGUCAAAGACACCCUUUCGGUCAAAGCAGAGCUUCCCGUGCGUGCUGUCGUUUUUUUAAAAGCCCGGAAAGCGAUCGGAGUCUAAACAAAACGGCACCCCGAUUACGGCCUUCACAUCAGUCACAUGGCCCCGCUAGUGCUUGCUGAUCGCCCCUCGUAAUCUCUCGGGACCUGUCUUUUACGCAUCGCGUCCCCUUCCAUUCGAGCACAUCUUUUCACCUCCAUCGAUGGCUUAGGCGCUUAGCUGCUUAGUAGGUUAGGCUAAUCCCAGCAGUAGCGGCAGUAGAUUACCUUUACUUGCCGCUGCUCCUUCUUCUUCGACUGCUUUUUCGCGGCAGUAUCUUACUUUGAUGGCGUGUAGGUGGUGGUCCAGCGCCCUGUGGAUCGUGUGGUCGUACGGUUUCUUGUUGCGGCAGUGAUUGCUUCUGGGGCCAUGGCCAAUCUGGCUGCUGCUUCUGCUGAAAAUGUCGCUCAGAGCAGCAGUGAUCACCACAAAAAUGUCCGUCCUCAAUUUUUCAUCAGCCAGUAAACUUAUUUGAGCUAGCUUACAAUGUUCCUGCUUGUGAGUUCCAAAGGGUAGGGACUAAUCCAAUCUGGCUUGUUCUGCAUGUGAUUCGACCUAUAAACUUGGUCUUUGUUCUGGGGUUGAUAUUUGGAUCCUCAUCAUGAUAGAUUUUGUUCGGUAGGCAA